CGAAAGUCUGACGGAGCAACGCCGCGUGAGUGAAGAAGGUUUUCGGAUCGUAAAGCUCUGUCUUUGAGGACGAAUGUGCUUAAUGUGAAUAAUGUUAAGUAAUGACGGUACUCGAGGAGGAAGCCACGGCUAACUACGUGCCAGCAGCCGCGGUAAUACGUAGGUGGCAAGCGUUGUCCGGAAUUAUUGGGCGUAAAGCGCGCGCAGGCGGGAUAUUAAGUCUGUUUUAAAAGUUCGGGGCUCAACCCCGUGGUGGAAUGGAAACUAAUAUUCUUGAGUGCAGGAGAGGAAAGUGGAAUUCCCAGUGUAGCGGUGAAAUGCGUAGAUAUUGGGAGGAACACCAGUGGCGAAGGCGACUUUCUGGACUGUGUCUGACGCUGAGGCGCGAAAGCCAGGGGAGUGAACGGGAUUAGAUACCCCGGUAAUCCUGGCCGUAAACGAUGGGUACUAGGUGUAGGAGGUAUCGACCCCUUCUGUGCCGGAGUUAACGCAAUAAGUACCCCGCCUGGGGAGUA
rnacentral:rRNA from 1 species